CACUGAGCAUGUGCAGUGAGCUGCUUGGUCACUAUGGCAACACAAAGCUAAACUCUAGCAGUAUGGAGUCUCUGGAGAGGAGAGGCACAGAGCAGGAAAAUAAUCUUCAUGAUGAAAUGGAGGAUGUUGUAAAGCUGGAUUUCCUUUCUCAGUCA